AUUAAUCCCCUCAUCCUUAACCCAGAGAAGCCCCACAAUCUCUCAAACCCUAAUCCAUUCGUAUCUCUCACAGCUGCCCCCCCCCCCCCUUCCUCUUUCUUCUUCUUUCUCUCAACCCAUAAGGAGGUCGAUAUACCUCUACUCCCUUUCCUUUAACGGUUUUGUCUGAAACCAUGAAUAUACCAUUUCUGUACUGACUACAUUCGUUUGUAAUGUUGACAUGUGCUCAUGAUCGUUCGUUCUAGCUCCUAAGAACUUGUUGAUGAUUUAUGAUUGAAUACUAUGUUUUUAUGAGUCUUGAAGCAAUUUGAUUAAAUUAUCAUGUGACUUUAUUGACUGUUAUUUUAAAUCAAAUGGCCUAAACCCUUAAGCUCUUUAACAUGCCUUGAUAGUUUCCUCUGUUUUUUUCUCCCUUCAAAUUCCUCUAGUGUUCUAUUAUGAUCUUUAUGCCUAUCACACUAAUCAUGUUUUAGUGAAAUCUGCUAUCCUAUUUUUUAAAGUUUAUUGUCUGAUGAUUUAACUAAGAUGGAUGUUAAUGCUCAAGGCUUAUUCAUGUACCACUCAUUUGAAGCAUGAUAAGUUUAAGUGUAUAAGAUGAUUUCUUCCUUCCCAUAAAUGUAUGGUAAUUUGAAAUAGUCCUUGAGUCAUUACUGUGAAAAUCUUGUGGUUGUAUUCAAUGCUAAGCACAUAUGUGAGUCUCAUUUAUGUGAUAUAGUUUCAUUAGGAUAACUAGGUCAAUUCUAUGAUAACUGUAACUAUUAUCUUUGUGUGUGUUCCAUUAUGAUCAAGCCAUCUUCUAUGAUUUAAGUUAUGUCUAUGUUUGUUAUUGGAUAUCAGUUAUCAAGUUGGUAUGUCGAAUAGGGAUCCACCGUGUCCAAACAUUCAUCUCCAUUCUGUGCAUUUGAGUUAAACUUGUUUAAUAUGGAGUAUCCCCUGUCUGAGAAUCAUUCAAAAUUGAUUCAUUCAAUUUAAUGGAGUACAAUUCUAUUCUUAAUAAAGAUCUCUAUGGCACUAAUUUAUUAGUCAUGAUCUCUGAGUCCACUCGCAUUUCUUUGUGCACUUUCAUAGUUCUGUUGGUUGCUUGAUUGAGUUAAUGACUGAUAUAUAAGCACAUAUUGAUAUUAGUUAGACUUCUAUGGGGUUGUCUUAUAUUGAUAUUAUGUUAGGAAAAACAUAAAACUUCUCUCAAGUUGUGAUAAUGUAUUUGCCCAUUUAAAAUACUAAAGUUAAGUUUCUCCGCACACCUGGAGACUAAUUCUAAAAUACAUCUAGCAUACCACAUUCUAUAUGAUGACAUCUAUAUCCAUUUGACCUCACAUAAUGGCUCCAGUAGUAACUUAUCAUGAUUUAAUCUUUGUUUAUCCUUUCUGUAUAUGCUAGUGAUCCUAAGUCAUCCAACGAUUUUGUUUGGUUAACUACAUUUAUACUUACCUUGUUUUGUUAAAUUCAAAUCCUAGUUGUAAUGAGAAUCACUAUAGGAGUUCUAAAUGUGAUGCUUAUCCUUAAUUUCUAUUAAUACUCAUUAAUGCUCUAUUCAAUUGAUAGUCUGGGAUUCACAACUAAGAUUAAUAAUCUAGUAUCAUUCUGAAGCUACUUAGACUAAAUUUGUGCCUACACUCGUUGAAAAGCAUUAACCAUAGUGAUAACCCUGCAAUGAAUUGUUAACCUGUGUACAUUUAAGGGCCAAGGCUUAAUCAACUUGUUGUUUGAUGUGAUUCGUUGCUAUUCAGAUGCAUACAUGUAUUCAUAAGUGAUCACAUACUAGAAAAUGUUCUUAUGUCCUAAGGAUGUUUGGUACCAGAUGUAGGAUCCCUUAGCAGUAACAUGAUUAUAUGUUUGAAACUCUUUAGGAAACGUCUAACAUGAUAAUAACCUACUUAGUUCUUAAUGUAGUUGUGAUGGCAUAGAUAAACUAUUUUAUGCCUCUUUGAAACUCUGUUAAGGAGGGUAUUUACUUCUAUGGUAUAUUGUUGUUAUAGUGAUUGGUUCGAAUUGAAAGUGCCUAAUUGGCACUUAAAUAUGUGGGGAAGAAUGGGUCAUUAGUGAUUAGAGGUAUUUGGGAGUAGAGUUUAACUCUUGGUUGGGCUACUCUCCUUGGCACAAGCAUUGCCCUGGGACUUGAGACCCUGGGGAAUUUUGAAGUGUCAGGGGAUUCAAACGGGGCUUUGACUUUGAGUGGAACUCUACCCUUAGCCAUUAAUCUAUUGAAAUUCAUUUCUCCCUUUGGGUUUAGUAUUUAAUGACAACGAAAGAUUUUCAAUGUAAAUCAUUCGCUAUGUAUAACCAUCCCAUUAGUAUGAACCUUCAUAAUAUUUAGGUAUUGUUAGUUGCUUUAUUUUAUUUAAGUCAUUUGCUCGCAUAUUUCAUGUAUGGAUAAAUGUAUAGAGAAUUGUUUUCUAAUGUUUUUCUCGCUUUCUUCUGAACAUGUACAGCUGUUGGCCUGCUGAGUUCUCAAAGAACUCAAGACCAAGCCUUGUAUCAUUGCAUUUGAAGUCUGGAGCCUGUUGUUGUCCCUUCCUGCUAAUUAUUGGGCCUACCUCUUUCAGGUCCAAACCAGAGUCAUUCUUCAUCCUUACUGCUUUACUAAUAUUUCAUUAUCUAUAUUCUUUACAUGUAUAUAACAUUACUCUCACCAUAUUCGAUCAGUGUUUUGUUUUGCCUUUUGGAUAACAUAAAUUACUUAGGCAAGACUUAAAGAACAUAGGAUUAAAAAAAUAUUAGUUAGUAGCUAAUCCUCCAUUCGCUAAUCAUAAGUUGUUCACAUCAUUAAUCUACUGCGUCUUGCUAACCCUUUCUUGAAGAUUUUGAAGCCUUAAAAAUACUUAGCAGAGACGACAGUUCCCCUUUUAAAACCUUAAACGAAAUGCAAGGUUAGCUUUCAAAAAGAAUUGACUCUUUCAAAAUUUAGGAGAUGCCGCCCAACAAGAUUUUCAACAUCCCCUUUAGUCUAAAAUCUAGAUAAUUUCAAAACUAAGGCCCAUAGUAUUUUACUUCACAAGAGCUACACAAAUAGCCACAAUUAUUUAAAUACAAAGUAUUUACAACUUAACCUCAUCUCCAUAUGUUUAUUAUAAAUAUGAGAAUUAUGUACAAUACUCUAUACCGAUUCUCCAGACUCUACUAAGCUUGCUCAUGACUCGUGAGACUUAGGCAACUAUACGACUUGGCUGGUCAUUUUAUGAAUUGCAGCUUCGUUUCCCCCAUUUCUGCUUUUUUAUGUCUUGUUCAACUGUAUUAUGUUGUAUCGGGUCGGUUGGUUCGGGUUCAGAGUGGUUUUGGAGAGGUAUGAGACACUUAAUCUGUUUUGGAAUAAGGUUAAGUUGGAAAAGUCAACCAAAUAUUGACUUAUGUGUAGAAGGUCUCGGAUGUGAAUUGCGAUAGUUCGGAUAGCUCUGUUAGGUGAUUUUGGGCUUAGGAGCGUGUUCAGAAUGUUAUUUGUAGGCCCGUGAUUGAUUUAGGUAAGAAUUGGCGAAAUUGAAAAAUUGGUAUUUUUUGGUCUCCAGUGAAAAUCUUGAUAUCGUGGUCAAAAUGGAAUUCUGGAAAUUAGAGUAGGUUCGUAGUGUCAUUUGUGACGUGUGUGCAAAAUUUCAGGUCAUUCGGAGUUGAUUUGAUAGGUUUCAGCAUCAUUUGUAGAAUUUGAAAGUUUCUAUGUUCUUCGGCUUGAAUCCGAGGUUGAUUUGGUGUUUUGAUAUUGUUUGGAGUGAUUCAAAGGUUUGAUUAAGUUUGAAUAAUGUUAUGGGAUAUAUUGGCAUAUUUGGUUGAGGUCCCGACGGCCUCGGGUGAGUUUCGGGUGGCUAAUGGACCAAUUCUUGGUUUUGGAAAGCUGCAGAUUUUGCUGGUUUCUAUUGCAGAAGAUUUUGUUCUUCGCGUUUGCGAAAAUUGUCCCACGUUCGCGAGUCAAGGGAUGUGUUCGCGUAGGUUUGGAUUCUAGCGAAUCGUGAAUGCAUAAGAGGAGUCGCGUUCUUGUAGGGACAAAUUGGAGCAGCUGGAACUCCAGGAGCUUGUGCAUCACGUACGCGUAGGUUGUCUCGCAUUCGCGAAGGAUUGGGCAGCUGAAGCUUCGCGUUCGCGUGAAGGAAGUCGCUUUCGCGAAAUAGGAAUAAUUGGGUAAUGAUUUUGUGCUUCGCGAAUGCGAGGCUUUGACCGCGAACGCGAAGAAGGAAGCGUAUGGGCAGAAUCUUUAAGUUCAAAAACGAGGGUUUAGUUCAUAUUUUCAAAAUCUCAUUAGAGAGCUUUGGAGAAGGUGAAUUUAGAGAGGAUUUUCAGAGGAGUGAUUGGGGUAAGUGUUCUUCACUUGUUUUGGGCUAAAUUCCAUAACUAUGUCUUGAAUUUUAUCAUUUAGUUUGAGAAUUUGGGGAAAAUGGAAGAAUAAUUGGAGAAUGGAUUUUUGGGAUUUGGAUGACCUUUUGACGUCGGAUUUUGAUGAAUUUGAUAUGGGUAGUUUCGUGAGCUAAUGGGUUUUUCAGUUUUGUGAUUUUUAUUGGAUUCUGAGACAUGGUCCCGGGGGUCGGGUUAGGCCAAUUUCACGAAUUUUCAGUUAAAUUGAUAAUUUUCGUAUGGGUUUCAUUCCUUUAGAAUAUAUUGAUGAUAAUAUACUGAUUUUGGUUAGAUUCGGGGCAUUUUGAGGCUGAAUCGAGAGGCAAGGGCGUCGCGGGCUUGAGUUUCGCUUGGCUUGAGGUAAGUAACGCUUCCAAACUUGGUUCUGAGGGUUCAAAACCCAGAAAUAUGUGUUCUAUGAUUACUAUUGAGGUGACGCAAUGCCAAGUGACGGGCGUGUGGGCGUCUGUCAUGAGAAUCGUGGCCUGGAUCAUUCCAUGGCACUACUUAGUGACUCUUUCUUGCUGAUACCUAUGUUGUGAUUAUGUGAUUAAGUUAAUGAACUGUAUAUCAUGCUAAUUAUCAUGUUAAGGCUUCACGCCAUUACUGUUGAGACCCGAGAGGUCGUUUCUUGCUGUCAUUUCAUUAGCUUCAUUUAUAUUCUGUACUCAGUCAUGUUCAUUCAUAUUAUAUCAUGCCUCAGUCUCGAUUAUUGUUAUUUGGCACAUCAUAUUCUUGUUUGGGCUAGUAUUAUGACAUUUUGCGCCCGUGUGUGUGACACUAGAGAGUGUUGACUGAGUGAGUCCAAGAGCCUGAUAUUGAGUGACAGUAUGGGAUCGGGCUGCACGCCGCAACAAAAUAUUGAUUAUGCCUUCAUUGGCUUGUUGUAGCGCUUGGGCUGAAAGGAGCCCCUCCGAAGUCUUUACACCCCCAGUCAGUGCAGUUGAUGAUAUUGAGGGAUGGAUCUUGUUCGAAGUAUUUCUACCUGGAGAUGGAUCAUCUCCAUAGGGCUGGAAUGGUCUUCCUCGGUAUUGGACGAAUGCAGUUAGUGAUGUGUAUAUAUUUCGGGAUGGAUCUUCCCUGGGUCGGAUGGCCAUAUACAGUACCGAGUGGUUGAGCACUUGUGAGUGGAGGUAAACAGAACAUUGAUCAUGUUAUUUGUGCAUUGGUACUUGGAGAUUCCUGAGCUUUAUACUCCGUACUAUUUAGACUGUAUUUAUUUACUGCUUAAUUUUUACUUGAACUGUAAGCAUGUCUACCUUUUUGUACAGUUUGAUUGUAUUAUCUGAUGAGGUUUGGUCUGUCACUACCUAUCAGUCCAUAGUUUGGACUUGUUACUUACUAAGUUGGUGUACUCACAUUACCCCCUGCACAUGUGUGCAGAUCCAGGUAUCUCGGGCCACGAUAGCGGUUGCUGAUCAUUUCAGUCGUGGGCUUUCAUUAGAUAUAGCGAGGUAGCUACCUUGCGAUCGCAGUCCCGCC
rnacentral:lncRNA from 1 species